AUUCUUCCCAAGACAACUGAACUCUGGAGGUCAAGCAAAGCACUGCCACCUUCCACAUACUCCCUGACUUAGAAUCAUAGAAUCACAGAAUAGUUAGGGUUGGAAAGGACCUUAAGAUCAUCCAGUUCCAACCCCCCUGCCAUGGGCAGGGACACCUCACACUAAACCAUGUCACCCAAGGCUCUGUCCAACCUGGCCUUGAACACCGCCAGGGAUGGAGCAUUCACAACUUCCCUGGGCAACCCAUUCCAGUGCCUCACCACCCUUACAGUAAAGAACUUCUUCCUUAUAUCCAAUCUAAACUUCCCCUGUUUAUGUUUUAAGCCAUUACCCCUUGUCCUGUCACUACAGUCCCUAAUGUCCCUCCCCAGCUUGUGCUAUAAUGCAAGGACAAUCUGCUAGAUGUUCUUUAAAAUGUGCUCUUUGCCUUUCUUAGUUUGGUUAUUGCAGAUAUGAAACAAAACACUCCUGGAAAUGAAAUGCCAUCUCAUUCUCAAGAAGGACAAUGAAUAAAGGUCAUGUACUGGUCAAGAAGACGUUCUGUCCACUUCCCACUUCCCAGCCCUUAGGGUUUGGUUGCUUUCAUAGGUGCUGUUGCUCAAUCCUGAUACCUAAGAGGAAGCAGAAACAGACUGAAAUCAAAAGAGACCUGAGUAUGGUUGGGGCUGGUAUGGGGAAAAGGGGUAGAACUGCCUCUUAGCAAUUGUUUCUGAAGGAAGGCACUGUUGAAGGACUUGGUACAAGAAGAGAAAGGUUUCCAGAUGAUCUAAACUAAUGAUGGUGUCACUUUCUCUUCCCAUUCCUCAGUCUCUCCAUGCACUGGUGUUUCUUAUGCUGGAUGUGGAUGUAGAAACAGAUUCUCAGUCCCCUUCCUCCUUCCUUUUGAGUCUCUGCAGUUUUCAGCUGUGUUCCUGGUUUGCCAGCUGUUACUGUAGGCCUCUGUGUGGUUGUGUGACUGUGAAGUGACUAUGGGCCACUUUAGGUUGAAAUAGCUUAGGAAAUACGCAUUUCUCCUGGACUGAGCCACUUCUGGAUCAAGCUGCUUUCCUGCCCCCUGGAGCAGAGCAAGGAGGUGCUGAACCCCUCCCACAUGAUGCAAUUUGUGAUGACACAGGGUACUGCAAGCAGGACAAAGGAGUGAUGUCUUACACGAUGACCUUGGAAACGUCGGCAUGGUUCAGCAUCAGAGCCACUCCCUCCAGCUUGUUGUUUCAGCUGAUGUCAGCCUGUUGCUCAACCUGCACCUCCUGACUUCAGAAAUGCUUUCCAUGAAAUAAAUUCCUGGAGAGACCUGUUCAACAGCAGCAGGGUGAGGUGCCCUCCCCAUCAGCAUGUCCUGCCUGAGAGAGAUCAUGCCAUGGGCCACUGCUUGUUUUUCUGGUGGAGCUGGUGCUUUAUUGGGCUGGUGCAUGUUCCUUAAGCUGGUGUUUGUUCUUUAAGCUGGUGUUUAACUGCCAGUUCCACGUAAAAGCUUGUUUCUUCUCAUCAUGCUUGAAAGCGUUUGCCUGCCUGCCCCUUUUUGAGUGGCUAAAUAUAAUAGCAACCACCACCUACUCUGGAAGGCAUAAUGCUGUAGAAUGUCUGUUCCAACUUGAUGCUGCACAAACUGCCAAAAUGGCAUCUUGGGGAUGAGCAAUAAUCACACAUAUGAGCAUGCAAUGGCAGAUGGAGAACCUGGUUUCUAGACACAACCAUGGGAUAGGGAAGCUUUGAAAGCUCCAUGGUUCCAUCUCAAAUAUUCUGUAUUGCUGCUUUACUUCCCCCACCAAUCCCUGUCUUCUUGCUGCCCAAGUGCAGGGCCACCACUUAUUCUUGCUUGAUAACCCUACAAUGUGCUGUGGCAUUGUGCUGGGAGCCUGUGGGAUAGAGGGGAUAGAUAUCUGUUUGAAGCUUGUCCAAGGAGGUGAUCCCUGCCCCUCCACUCUCUUCUCAUGAGACCCCACUUGCAGCCCUGUGUGCGGUUCUGGUGUCUUCAACAUAUGAAGGACAUGGAGCUGUUGGAGCAAGUUCAGAAGAGGCCACAAGGAUGCUCAGGGGCUGGAGCAGCUCCUGUGUGGAGCCAGGCUGAGAACAUUGGGGCUGUUCAGCCUGGAGAAGAGAAGGCUGUGUGGAGAACUCAGAGCAGCUUCCAGUGUCUGAAGGGGGCUACAAGGAUGCUGGGGAGGGACUCUUCAUUAGGGACUGGAGUGAUAGGACAAGGGGUGAUGGGUCCAAACUGCAACAGGGGAAUUUCAGGUUGCAGAUAAGGCAGAAGCUCUUCCCUGUGAGGGUGCUGGGGUGCUGGCACAGGGUGCCCAGAGAAGCUGUGGCUGCCCCAUCCCUGGCAGUGUUCAAGUCCAGGUGGGACACAGGGGCUUGGAGCAAGCUGCUCUAGUGGAAGGUGUCCCUGCCCAUAGCAGGGGGUUGGAACUGGGUGAUCUUAAGGUCCCUUCCAACCCAACCCAUUCCAUGAUUCUAUGAAAAAUUACAUUUUGGCUGUGCAUCCUGCUUGGAAUGAAGCUGCCCAGUCAUUCAUGAAGGCUUGAACACCUACCAGUGUUUUGCAGGGGAAUUCAUGAUAGCAAGGAGGUGAUUUGUGGUGUAUUGAGAAACUUCCCUGCAGUUGUUGACUUUAGCUGGGUGGUUCUGUUUGCAAGCACUGGGGUUUUUCCCAGCUUUUUAAUAUCUGUGGAAAAAAAUAAGUACAACAGAAACAGGGAAUGGGAAUAAUGCCACCCCCUUGUUUUUAAGACUCUAAAUCUGAGAGGGGAAGGAAACGGGUCACACUACAAGAGGCUGAUGACAGUAUAGCAAAGGCUGUGGAUUGUGGAAUGUCAAUGCUGAACUAACUGUGGCUUUUGCAGCUUAACAAAGCUGUCUUGUGAAAGCUAUGGUAUGUUCACCUAGUGCACAGCUGCCACUGGAUCAGAGCUUGCAAUCACAGAGAGUAGAGUUAGGCUUGAAAUUGGAUUAAAUGGGGCUGAUACAUGCUAGUAAAUUCACCAAGUUCUCCUUCUGGCCACACCAGGGAAAUGGAGUUACUGUAUUAACAUGGUUCUUUCUCACUCUCGCCUCUAAGAACAUUUUUAGAGGCAUGUUAAAGAAGAAAACUUGAAUUCAAAGUGUAUCCUGAACAAAUCAUCUCCUGCAGCACCUCAUUCAGACACACUGUGUGUAAAAUGUUUCUGAGAGAACUGGAACACAGCUGAGAAACUGUCUGUCUAAAAUGAGUUCUAUUUUACUUCUCUGCAAACCCCUGCAAUACAGACCCUUAGAGCUGAUUGUGUCUUUAGGGCUUACUUCUUUGAGCAAAACAGCUCAGUGUUCUAAACAUGUUUCUUAGAGUAACUUCAAGUAUCCUUUGUCUUUCCUAGGACUGUGUUUCCAGGAACCAGCAGUUCUGCGUGACCCAGGCAUUUGUAUUCUGUGCUAUGGAAACAUUCAUCAGAGAAGCUCUGAUGAUUUUUUGCACAUUCCAGCUGUCCUCUCCAGCUGUCCUGUGAGGAAGCUAAGCAUUACUGUCCCUAAAUUGGCUGGUGUUGGGGUCUGUGCUCUGUAAGUUGUAAACAAGAGAGCUUGCUCCAUUGUCUCUAAUGGGAUCUUGUCCAAGGGAAAACAGAGAUUGUCUUCAACAAUUUGAAGCUUGUGUAGGCAGACAAUAUGCUGACUUUUGCCUGUGGGUAACAUGAAGGAUGCUUCUACUUCAAACCAAGCAGCUGAGAGCCAACAUGAGUUCAAAGCACUGCUGUGUGUGCAGCUGAGAGGAUGGAUCAGUCCCUGGGCAGCUGUGAGCUGGUAUGUGAAAGUGUACUGAAAGAAGAAU